CCUACGGGAGGCAGCAGUGGGGAAUUUUGGGCAAUGGGCGAAAGCCUGACCCAGCAACGCCGCGUGGAGGAUGAAGGCCUUCGGGUUGUAAACUCCUUUUGCCAGGGAAGAUAAUGACGGUACCUGGCGAAUAAGCCCCGGCUAACUACGUGCCAGCAGCCGCGGUAAUACGUAGGGGGCGAGCGUUGUCCGGAUUUAUUGGGCGUAAAGAGCGCGUAGGCGGCCUGUUAAGUCGGAUGUGAAAGCUCCUGGCUAAACUGGAGGAGGUCAUCCGAUAGUGGCAGGCUAGAGGGCAGCAGAGGAAGGGGGAAUUCCCGGGGUAGCGGUAAAAUGCGUAGAUAUCGGGAGGAACACCAGUGGCGAGGGCGGCCUUCGGGGCUGUCCCUGACGCUGAGGCGCGAAAGCGUGGGGAGCGAACCGGAUGAGAUACCCGGGUAGU
rnacentral:rRNA from 1 species